GGAAGCGGACGAUCUUCAGGUCCUUGGUCAGAAUAAUAUCCCGUUAUUCAAGUAGCUCUUAAGCACCACCAGAACAGGUACUAAAGUCAUUCAGAAAUUUCAAUGCAGCCGGAAGUGGGAUCUUUGUGUGCAAGGAGUUAGAAUUUUCAUGCAGGCUGGUGGAAUCAGCCAUCGAUAGGCAUUUGAAGUGGAGGUGCAUCAGUAAGUGCUAUUAAAAUCCUCUUUUGCCAAUUAAUGCAUCAAUUGAUAGGAAUUGAAUGAGUCAAGGUUAAUUCUUUUCCAUUGAUAAGCAUUUGGAGUUGAGGGCAGCAGUAUUUAAUGAUAAAGAUGUUUAAAUAGGUGUUGAUGUAAAAUAUUUGUCCUCAUGUGCAAUGAUAAGCCUUGUGCCUAUUAAUACAUCGACGCUGAAUACCCCUUCUCAAAUUUAAGACAAAUUGGUUCAAGAAAAAUGUACUAGUCUUAAUGUGGAUUGUAACGAUGCAGCUUCACUCCGCCAGAUUUCCAUAGGUGAAUGGAAAUGCUAUCUGGCCUUUGUUUCCAAGUUGUUAUCUUACACUAUGGUUUUC